CAUGCAGGCGGUCGUACGCGUUUUGUGUGACAGCGGGUGGCUUAACUACCCGAGUAUGCGAAAGACGGUAUGACUUGAGGGCUCGAGAGGGACACGGAAUUCCGGGUGGAGUGGUGAAAUGCGUAGAGAUCCGGAGGAACACCGAAGGCGAAGGCAGUGUCCUGGCGAGUGACUGACGCUGAGGUGCGAAAGCCAGGGGAGCGAACGGGAUUAGAUACCCCGGUAGUCCUGGCCGUAAACGAUGACCACCAGGUGUGGGAGGUAUCGACCCCUUCCGUGCCGGAGUAAACACACUAAGUGGUCCGCCUGGGGAGUACGGUCGCAAGAUUAAA
rnacentral:rRNA from 1 species